rfam:Octopus bimaculoides Scaffold59943_contig_65, whole genome shotgun sequence.
AUUUUCAUGGUGUAAUGUUUAGCACUCUGAACUUUGAAUCCAGUGAUCCGAGUUCAAAUCUUAGUGAGAUCU